AACGAACGCUGGCGGCAUGCCUAACACAUGCAAGUCGAACGAAGUCUUCGGACUUAGUGGCGCACGGGUGCGUAACGCGUGGGAAUCUGCCCUUGGGUGCGGAAUAACUUCUCGAAAGGGAUGCUAAUACCGCAUAAUGUCGUAAGACCAAAGAUUUAUCGCCCAAGGAUGAGCCCGCGUAAGAUUAGCUAGUUGGUGGGGUAAAAGCCUACCAAGGCGACGAUCUUUAGCUGGUCUGAGAGGAUGAUCAGCCACACUGGGACUGAGACACGGCCCAGACUCCUACGGGAGGCAGCAGUGGGGAAUAUUGGGCAAUGGGCGAAAGCCUGAUCCAGCAAUGCCGCGUGAGUGAUGAAGGCCCUAGGGUUGUAAAGCUCUUUUACCAGGGAUGAUAAUGACAGUACCUGGAGAAUAAGCUCCGGCUAACUCCGUGCCAGCAGCCGCGGUAAU
rnacentral:rRNA from 1 species